rnacentral:misc_RNA from 1 species
UCCCGAAACAUGGAACAGAGGCAGACGUACGUACAACAGCACGCCGCUGCUCAACACACGACGAGGAUACAAUUUGGCAUCACAACACAAACCGCGCACACCCUUGUUAUUCAUGCAUGGAGCCAUGGACUGGUCGCGACGCGAUCGACGGCGACGCCAGCCGGCCGCUGGGCGAGCGAAUCAGUGGCAGUGCGUGGUGCAGAAGCAGCGGCGGCGGAAGCCGCGGCACCUGCCGCCGGGGAACCCCUCGGUCCUGCAGACGUUGGCGCAGUUGGACCGGCGGAGGCAGGGGCCCCGGAACCUGUGGCUCUGCGACUGGCACGUCCGCGCCUCCGCCACCGCCACCGGCCCGACCUCUGCAGCAGCACGCAGCAGCAUCUCAGACAGAUCAUCAUCAGUAGGCUGCCGCCGGCCGCCAGCGGCUGAUGAGUC